rnacentral:rRNA from 1 species
GAUGAACGCUGGCGGCGUGCCUAAUACAUGCAAGUCGAGCGAACAGACGAGGAGCUUGCUCCUUUGACGUUAGCGGCGGACGGGUGAGUAACACGUAGGUAACCUACCUAUAAGACUGGGAUAACUUCGGGAAACCGGAGCUAAUACCGGAUAAUAUUUCGAACCGCAUGGUUCGAUAGUGAAAGAUGGCUUUGCUAUCACUUAUAGAUGGACCUGCGCCGUAUUAGCUAGUUGGUAAGGUAACGGCUUACCAAGGCAACGAUACGUAGCAGACCUGAGAGGGUGAUCAGCCACACUGGAACUGAGACACGGUCCAGACUCCUACGGGAGGCAGCAGUAGGGAAUCUUCCGCAAUGGGCGAAAGCCUGACGUAGCAACGCCGCGUGAGUGAUGAAGGUCUUCGGAUCGUAAAACUCUGUUAUUAGGGAAGAACAAACGUGUAAGUAACUGUGCACGUCUUGACGGUACCUAAUCAGAAAGCCACGGCUAACUACGUG